CUCCUCCGCACGUUGUCCACUUUUUGUCUCCCACGAGCUCUCCUCCCAUGGCGCUAUUUCUUCUCGCCUCCCCCGCGGAUCCCCUCGCCCCAUUCCUCCCCCUCUCGAGCUCCUCUUCCCCGAAGCCUCAUCCUCCCGGCCACCGUGACACCUCGUGGUGGAGUUCGACCGUGCACCACCGACCGACGCCGGGGCGGCCACGUAUGGGCCCUGGGUCGCCCGAUCUAGCCCCGGGGGGCCCGGAUCGGCAGAAGGCGGCGCUUCCGGCGAGAGGUGGUCAUUUUCUUCGUGACCCGCAUGUCGAUCUUCUCAUCUGGUGUGUGCCCGCCGGCAGAUUGGGUGGCCUGUUGCUCGGUCAGGUGCCACUUUCUUUCUUCCCUUUAUGUAAGUUUAAUUUUCUCCGAAGCUUUGCAUAAUUGAGGUGCAUUGGUGGUUUCAGGAUGAUAUGAGUAACUGCCAAAUCCCUUCUUUUCUAAAGCUUUAUUACCGCCAAGUUCAGUCGUGGUCAUUGUAUUGAUACAGUCCAGUGCACUGUAUGUACAUAUCUUUGGGUCUGGGCAUAAACAAUUCUUAUUCCAAGAUCAUUUCGUCUUCCUGAAACAAAUCCAUGCUCAUUGUACUUUGACAGAUAAAUUGUUUGAUCAUUUUGUGUUCAUCAAAUGUCACAAUACAACAAGAGAUUCAAGGGAAACAAGAUACAUGCAUGGGCUAUCUGAUGUGUACCAAGCUGAUGUGUACAGAUAAAUUCUUUUUCCAAUAUCCUCACAGAAGACAGCAAAAAAGCUCUAUCUAUGCCUUUUGGGAACUUCUAUGCCUACUGAAUAUCCUCGCGAGACUGACGGACAUACUGACUGAAUUCAGCUCUAUUUCAGGCCAAUCGGUAGGGCGCUUAGUCAAGGGCUGGCCAUAGGCUAAAUGCAUAUGUUGGUCUACUAUGAUGAUGCGCCCAUGGUAAACUGCUUCACAUCUUUUGCUUAUGUAGAAUGUUGUGUUUGUGUCAGCCGAAACUGAUGCAAAACCAUGUGUGUGCUUCGUGUCUGUAGUCAACCGAAAUUAGCUCUGUCGUGCCACUAGUGCAAUGCAAUUGUUAAUCUAUACCGACUUGUGGAAGUGUCACACCAGAAUUCCAGGAACAGAUAAAGUUACUGUGCCCUUAGCUUUA